GAACACAAUGAAAACUCCCACAAGCAAGAGUCCCCAGCAACGGUCUGUACCAUUUUCUUCGGACAGACGAAGUUUGUAGACGAUUUGUGGUAGACCGCCUGUAUGAACGGCCUGGGGAUCCCGCUGGCCUUUCUCGUGAGGAGCAGAAUGUCGGUGACGGCCGGGAGGAUAAAUCCUUCGGCCUCCACGGUUCAUGGACGGAGUCAAUUCGCAUUGAGCCUAAUGACGGAGUCCCUUGGUCUGGGGUCCUAGUCCCUUGGGUCAAAUUCAACUGAGUCCUGUACGGCAUCCGCCCCAGGUGGAUUCAGCGGUACGGGGUGUUGUUGCCUGGAUGUCAGAUAGAGAAGGUGUGAUCACGGAGCAGCGCAGGAGCAGGCUACAGUCAAGAGAAAUGGUUGACAGCGUCGUCGUUGGUGUUCAAACAACAACGGA